rnacentral:rRNA from 1 species
UACAGCAAUUAUAGAUGGCUGAAGUUACUGAUCCCUACGGAACUCGUAAUAUAACCGGCCAAACACAUGGUUAGUACUAUGAUGGGGGACUACAUGAGAAUACCAUGUACUGCUGAGA